rnacentral:rRNA from 1 species
CUAUCCUUUUUUGGCCAAGUCCACUUCGACAAGGAGCUCGCGUGGGUUGGGCUACACAAGGCACAUGAAUACACAGAUGGCUACAUAUGCUCCUGCGACGUCAUCUCUCCCACUGAUAGCCACACAAAGCCGGCCUGGAAGCUAUGCAAGGAGAUGAUGUUCGACCCUGAUGCAACCAUGAGGCUAGAUAUGGAUAGGCACAUCCCGGCUAGUCUUGUGUACAUGGGUGACAGUAGCUACUGUCUCGUUGAGGUCGUGCCGCAAGAAAGAUUCAACAAGAGGCAUUGCACCAGCACUGGCAGCAAGUGCAUGAUCCGUUUGUUCACACUCAAGUACGGCAAGAACGGCGAGCUCAGAACCACUGCCCACAAGCCUAACCGCUCCUUCCUCUUUUCCAAAUAUAAUGAGGAUUUUCAAGUGCGGGCAUUUUGGAUGUGA